AUUGAACGCUGGCGGCAUGCUUUACACAUGCAAGUCGAACGGCAGCACGAAAGAGCUUGCUCUUUUGGUGGCGAGUGGCGAACGGGUGAGUAAUGCAUCGGAACGUACCGAGUAAUGGGGGAUAACUGUCCGAAAGGAUAGCUAAUACCGCAUACGCUUUGAGAAGGAAAGUGGGGGCUCUUCGGACCUCACGUUAUUCGAGCGGCCGAUGUCUGAUUAGCUAGUUGGUGGGGUAAAGGCCUACCAAGGCGACGAUCAGUAGCGGGUCUGAGAGGAUGAUCCGCCACACUGGGACUGAGACACGGCCCAGACUCCUACGGGAGGCAGCAGUGGGGAAUUUUGGACAAUGGGCGCAAGCCUGAUCCAGCCAUGCCGCGUGUCUGAAGAAGGCCUUCGGGUUGUAAAGGACUUUUGUUAGGGAAGAAAAGGAUAGUGUUAAUACCAUUAUCUGCUGACGGUGCCUAAAGAAUAAGCACCGGCUAACUACGUG
rnacentral:rRNA from 1 species